UAAGGAAUAUUGCUCAAUGGGAGAAAUCCUGAAGCAGCAACGCCGCGUGGAGGAUGAAGGGUCUAUGACUUGUAAACUCCUGUAAAGAAGGAAAAAAUUCCCAUUAGAUGGGAGAUGAUGGUACUUCUGGAGUAAGCCCCGGCUAACUACGUGCCAGCAGCCGCGGUAAUACGUAGGGGGCAAGCGUUGUCCGGAUUUACUGGGUGUAAAGGGCGCGCAGGCGGGAUAAAAAGUCAGUGGUGAAAUCCUACAGCUUAACUGUAGAACUGCCUUUGACACUUUUAUUCUUGAGUUCGGGAGAGAGAGGCGGAAUUCCAGGUGUAGUGGUGAAAUACGUAGAUAUCUGGAAGAACACCAGUUGCGAAGGCGGUCUCUUGGUCCGACACUGACGCUGAGGCGCGAAAGCGUGGGGAGCAAACA
rnacentral:rRNA from 1 species